UUCAUUACUUGAGUCUCAGAAAAAUUCCCCCUCGUUUUUUGCCGCUCUUCUUCUCUUUGCCAUGGCUUCUGAUUCUUCUCCUGCUAAUUUUAACAACGGAGCAUGAGAGAUAAUGAUUGUUUGCCUGGUAGUUGCUGUUAUAAUCUGAUGAUUCAGGGGUUUCUUCAGAGGGUCGAAGAGUUUGAAUCACCCCAAAUACAAAACCAGGUAAAGCAACGAUCUCGCGUUUGGCGACUGCAGUUCAUGGUCAGCAAUUCCAGG